rnacentral:lncRNA from 1 species
AGCCUCAGUUCCCCAGGCAUCCCGAGAGCUGGGCUUCCCUUCAUGUCCUCGGCUUCUGUUAACAUAUGGAUCACUGGCCUCCAUCGUCUGAGUGUUCCCUCUGCUGACUCCUCCUGAGACUGAACUGCCCACCUGGAGGGAGAGGGACGCCCCAUCCUGCCUGUGUGUCCUCCAUCUCAGCUGCUAUGAGAGGGAGCUCUAAGUGCUGGGAGACCUGUUAUCUCCCCUCUGGACAGUGACUCUCAGGGCAGCGUCCAGGGCUGGUGUGUGACCUCGUGAGCAGAGAGGUGAUGCUCUCCCUGUGGAUGCUGAAGGAGGGAGGACAGUCAGCCUCCUUCAUAACUCCUGUCCUUGAGUCUUUCUCCUGACUGGACUGACCUCCACAGACAUCUACAGCCUGUGACUCAGGAGGUCUGGCCAGAAGGGAUCUGUUUUCACUUUGCAGAAAAUGACCACCAGAGGGGAAGGACAUUGACAAGGAGGCAGGAGAUGGGGCUCAGGCCCUGCAUGGGGUGUGAAUUUAGAUUUCUGUUGGAGUCUUCUCUAAAUGUUGCAACUUUCAGUUCCUGAGAGAGAAGUGGACUUUCCCAGGGAACCUGGCACCGCCAACUCGAGACAUGCUGCUGCUGCUGCUGGCCCUGCUCUUGUGGAUGGAGGGGGCCAAGGGCCAGAGGGAACCCUGCGAGGAUCACUCACUGCAGGUGCAGGGGUUGGUGACUGUGCGGGAGGGCCUGUCCCUGCACAUGCCCUGCUCCUUCUCCCACCCCCAGGUUGGCUGGAAUGACUCGACCCCAGCUCAUGGCUAGGGUUCCAGGAAGGGGCCAAAAUAUACCAGGAUGCUCCUGUGGCCACGUACAAGCCAGAUCGUGAAGUGCAGAAGGAGACCCAGCUCUGACGCAGACACCUGACACCCUGAUCCCAGGGACCCUGGAGUCUGGCCAGUCCAGGAACCUGACCUGCUCUGUGCCCUGGGAACUGGACAGUCGACAAAUAAACACAAAGUUCUUCUUGUCCCCAAAUCCUUUCCUCCUCGGCAGACCGUAUGUUUUCACCCCUGUAGGUUAUAUGGCUGCUUUCGUAGCCUGACUCUUGAAUCCCAUUUUAAGAGAUCAGAUCCCUCUCAGAGUUGGGUGAUUUAUGAGCUCAGAACCGGGCCCCGGUUCAGCACCACAGACAGCACCAGCCCCUUGCCUGGAGCAGCGGGGUUUCUGUUCCUUGGUCCUCACUCUGAUCGGGGCCCUCAGGAGGGCUGGCUUCCUCCUCAACUAUGGCCUCACCUGGAUCUACCACACCAGGUGUCGAGGUUCCCUGGGAGCAGAGCUGAGAAGGCUGACUGAGGAUCCCUCCUUCUCAAGACGGGACUGAGGUGUUGACAUGGAGCCCAGAGGGAUAGAUGUGGCGACAUCGCUGUGAGCUUCUCUCUGGAAACGCCCAGCCCUCACUGCCUACUACUGCUCCUUCAUUUUCCACCUGAC